UACAGAGGUCCCAAGCGUUGUUCGGAUUCACUGGGCGUAAAGGGUGCGUAGGCGGUCGGGUAAGUCUGAUGUGAAAUCUCACAGCUUAACUGUGAAACUGCAUUGGAUACUAUCCGGCUUGAGGAAUGGAGGGGAGACUGGAAUACUUGGUGUAGCAGCGAAAUGCGUAGAUAUCAAGUGGAACACCAGUGGCGAAGGCGAGUCUCUGGACAUUUCCUGACGCUGAGGCACGAAAGCCAGGGGAGCAAACGGG
rnacentral:rRNA from 1 species